CCUACGGUGCACAGCAGUCGAGAAUCAUUCACAAUGGGGGAAACCCUGAUGGUGCGACGCCGCGUGGGGGCAUGAAGGUCUUCGGAUUGUAAACCCCUGUCAUGUGGGAGCAAAUUAAAAAGAUAGUACCACAAGAGGAAGAGACGGCUAACUCUGUGCCAGCAUCCGCGGUAAUACAGAGGUCUCAAGCGUUGUUCGGAAUCACUGGGCGUAAAGCUUGCGUAGGCUGUUUCGUAAGUCGUGUGUGAAAGGCGCGGGCUCAACCCGAGGACGGCACAUGAUACUGCGAGACUAGAGUAAUGGAGGGGGAACAGGAAUUCUCGGUGUAGGAGUGAAAUGCGUAGAUAUCGAGAGGAACACUCGUGGCGAAGGCGGGUUCCUGGACAUUAACUGACGCUGAGGCACGAAGGCCAGGGGAGCGAAAGGGAUUAGAUACCCUGGUAGUC
rnacentral:rRNA from 1 species